rnacentral:rRNA from 1 species
CCGAAGAUUAAGCCAUGCAUGUGUCCGAUUUUUAGUAGAACGAUUAAAUCUGCGAAGGGCUCCGUACAUCUGUUGCAACCUAACUCAAUCCUGGCUGCUCCGGGUAGCGGCCGCCAGGAUAACCUGGGUAAUUCUCAGGCUAAUACAUAUAUAAGAGCUGCAAGAUUACAAAGAAAAACACAUAGGGGGACCCGCUAAGGUGACCGCACGCAAAUCCGGUUACCCUGUAGAAGGGCUGGCAACAUUGCUCCUCCAUCGCUGCAGAGGUCGCAGGACCCGUGACCUGGGAGGUCUUCGCGCGGUGGGCGUUCCGCUUGUUCUUUCAAGCCCGUCCAUCGGGGGAUCUAUCGGUGAAAAGUACUGCGUGCCCCUUACCGUUGUUAAAGUGCCCUUUCGGUGCUACGGUUUUUCAUAUGUGCUUCAGCUCUAUCAACUCCAAACUUAGGGAGUGGCUCCCAUUGGUUGCAACGGAUACAGAGGAUCAGGGUUCGAUUCUGGAGAGGUAGCCUUAAAAAUCGCUACUACUUCUAAGGAAGGCAGCAGGCGCGCAACGUUCCCAAUGGGGAUACCCUGAGGACGUGAGGGGACAUAGCAAUACUGGGCCUUUAAACGUUCGGUAAUUGAAAUGGGGGAGAUCUAAAUCGCCCACCGAGUAACAAUUGGAGGACAAGUCUGGUGCCAGCACCCGCGGUAAUUCCAGCUCCAAUAGCAUCUUGUUAAGCUGUUGCGGUUAAAACGCUCGUAGUCCGAUUAGGUGGCGUGUUGUGCAACGCUUCGCCCUUGGUGUGAGGCCCUUCGAGAGUUCUGCCGACUCGGUUCUCUCCCACGUCCGGUAGGUUCAAUGUUUAACAAGACCCGGUCCUCGGCCCGAGAAGGGAAGCGGGGAUCGGUAUUGGACAGAAUAAGAAGCCGGGUAAACGUGGGUUGUGGCGCUGGGGAGGAUCAAACAGGCUCCGUUUCGCACUAAUAGUAACCCUUGGGUGGGGCCAUGGCGCGCUGCCCAUAGGGGCGGGAUUGGAACACCCUGUACCGAUUGAGUUUGGUCGCAGGCUCUCCCGCUCCGCAUCACUUUGAAUAAAUUAGCGCGCUUAAAGCAGGUCUACAACAUAUAUUGCAAGGACCUAAACAAGAAUACUACAGCAAAGAACGAACGAACAGGCCCACUGUUCACGGUCACAGUACGGGAAUGAUUAAUAGGGGAGAUCGGGGCCAACCACAUGGCUGGGGUAGGGGUGAAAUCCGUUGAUCCUAGCUAGGUGAACUAAAGCGAAAGCAGUUGGCAAGUACUCUUUCUUUGAUCAAGAACGAAAGUCUGGGGAUCGAAGAUGAUCAGAUACCAUCGUAGUCCAGACCCUAAAUGUUGCCAACCAUGGAUGUGACACAGUCCAUCCCGACCCGCCACGCACCUUAUGAGAAAUCAGAAGUGUAUGGGCUCCGGGGGGAGUAUGGUCGCAAGACUGAAACUUAAAGGAAUUGACGGAAGAGCACACAAGGAGUGGAGCCUGCGGCUUAAUUUGACUCAACACGGGACAACUCAUUAGGGCAAGAAAGGGAAAUGAGGGCCAGGCGAGCAGGCCUUGCCCGAUUCUCUUAGUGGUGGUGCAUGGUCGUUCUUAGUUCGUGGAGUGAUUUGUCUGGUCUAUUCCGCUAACGAGCGAGAACCCGUUUUUCUACUGUUGGGACCGCCCAGCUCGCCUGUUGAACGGAGGGGUCCAUGGGAGCUCUGGGGUGGUAGCAAUACCGCUUUGGGGAGCCCGUCAAUGGAUCCCCGAGGGACGUGGGCUGCGAAAUAGCUGGGAUGGCUGUCCUUGGAGAACCAACGCCGUGAAGGUGUUGUAAGCGGGUCAAUAACAGGUCAGUGAUGCCCUUAGAUGCCUUAGGCUGCACGCGCGCUACAAUGGUGGGGUAACCGGGCGAACCUGUGCUGAAAGGCGGCGGGGAACCCUGGGAAAACCCUCCUCGUCUGGGACCAUCGGGUGUAACCACCCUUUACGAACAAGGAAUUUCUAGUAACCGUGGGUCACUAGCCCACGGUGAUUUCGUCCCUGCUCUUUGUACACACCGCCCGUCGCUCCUACCGAUUGGAUUGCCUGGUGAGGCCCAUGGAGUCGCCCGGUUCACUUUAUGGGUUGGUCCGAGUCUGGCCUCCCUUGGGUUCUGUGGUGGCGAAGUGGGUCAAACCUCGCGGUCUAGAGGAAGGA